AAGAGAGAGACAUGCGCGCAUAUCAAUAAGCGGAGGAAAAGAAACUAACAAGGAUUCCCUUAGUAACGGCGAGUGAAGCGGGAAGAGCUCAGAUUUGAAAUCUUCAAGGUUUUACCUUGACGAAUUGUAGUUUAAAGAAGUGUUUUCUGCUGAAGUUUUGGUAAAAGUUCUUUGGAAUAGGACAUCAUAGAGGGUGAGAAUCCCGUAUUUGACCAUUAUUUUCAGCUUUGUGAUACACUUUCAAAGAGUCGGAUUGUUUGGGAAUGCAGUCCAAAAUGGGUGGUAAAUUUCAUCUAAAGCUAAAUAUUGGCGAGAGACCGAUAGCGAACAAGUACCGUGAGGGAAAGAUGAAAAGAACUUUGAAAAGAGAGUUAAACAGUACGUGAAAUCGUCAAAAGGGAAGCGUUUGACACCAGUGUUGUUUUCUCGAAAAUCAAUUAAAAAUGGCUCGAUUUUGUAUUGUUGAGACCUUAAAAGCUCACUGUACAUUUUUCGUGUCUUUUUUAAUGCACUUUUCGUUUAACAAGUCAACAUCAGUUUCUUUUGUUGUAAAAGGGUCAUUGGAAGGUGGCUUUCUUUUCGGAGAAAGUGUUUAUAGCCUUUGGCCUCUGCAAUCGGAAGAGACUGAGGUCUGCAGCGUAGACUCUUCGGGGUUAGAUACAUUUGUGCUAAGUUAUAGCUUUUUAUAGACAACUUGUUGACUAUAAUUAGUCUUGUAGCUUACUCGCUUAUGCUAUUUUACCUACGCUUAGGAUGUUGAAGAUGUAGCACAUCAU
rnacentral:rRNA from 1 species